GUACACUCCUGCGGGAGGCAGCAGUGGGGAAUAUUGCACAAUGGGCGCAAGCCUGAUGCAGCCAUGCCGCGUGUAUGAAGAAGGCCUUCGGGUUGUAAAGUACUUUCAGCGGGGAGGAAGGCGAUAAGGUUAAUAACCUUGUCGAUUGACGUUACCCGCAGAAGAAGCACCGGCUAACUCCGUGCCAGCAGCCGCGGUAAUACGGAGGGUGCAAGCGUUAAUCGGAAUUACUGGGCGUAAAGCGCACGCAGGCGGUCUGUCAAGUCGGAUGUGAAAUCCCCAGGCUCAACCUGGGAACUGCAUUCGAAACUGGCAGGCUAGAGUCUUGUAGAGGGGGGUAGAAUUCCAGGUGUAGCGGUGAAAUGCGUAGAGAUCUGGAGGAAUACCGGUGGCGAAGGCGGCCCCCUGGACAAAGACUGACGCUCAGGUGCGAAAGCGUGGGGAGCAAACAGGAUUAGAUACCCGGGUAGUCCCAUGA
rnacentral:rRNA from 1 species